rnacentral:lncRNA from 1 species
GAUGGAUUAGCCUGCCCAAAAGAUCACUGAGCUUGGGUUCCAACUGGCAUGUGCCUCAAGGAAGCCAUUCUGAAGGCAUUGCUUCCAGAAGAGUGUGUCUUAUGGAACAUCAUCCCUAUGGCAGCUGUGUGUGGCAUAGACAUAAAUUCACUUGGUUGUUUACUGCAGGUGGACGGACCUUCUGCCAUCAUGGAAGUGCUAAAGGGGCUCUCUAAUGCAUGUUGCACACAUUGGAAACAACCAACUUAAAUAAUAUUGUAUAAAAUGGAAGAAAUUAACAAAAUGUAAGAUAACAGAAAUUUUGUCAUCAAACUGGAAACAAGAUUUGGUGCACUCACCACCUCUCCAGGUAAGUGGUU